rnacentral:rRNA from 1 species
GACGAACGCUGGCGGCGUGCCUAAUACAUGCAAGUCGAACGCUGAAGGAGGAGCUUGCUUCUCCGGAUGAGUUGCGAACGGGUGAGUAACGCGUAGGUAACCUGCCUGGUAGCGGGGGAUAACUAUUGAAAACGAUAGCUAAUACCGCAUAAGAGUAGAUGUUGCAUGACAUUUGCUUAAAAGGUGCAAUUGCAUCACUACCAGAUGGACCUGCGUUGUAUUAGCUAGUUGGUGGGGUAACGGCUCACCAAGGCGACGAUACAUAGCCGACCUGAGAGGGUGAUCGGCCACACUGGGACUGAGACACGGCCCAGACUCCUACGGGAGGCAGCAGGAGGGAAUCUUCGGCAAUGGACGGAAGUCUGACCGAGCAACGCCGCGUGAGUGAAGAAGGUUUUCGGAUCGUAAAGCUCUGUUGUAAGAGAAGAACGAGUGUGAGAGUGGAAAGUUCACACUGUGACGGUAUCUUACCAGAAAGGGACGGCUAACUACGUG